rnacentral:tRNA from 3 species
GGCUCUGUGGCGCAAUGGAUAGCGCAUUGGACUUCUAAUUCAAAGGUUGUGGGUUCGAGUCCCGCCAGAGUCG